rnacentral:rRNA from 1 species
UACGUAGGGGGCUAGCGUUGUCCGGAUUUAUUGGGCGUAAAGAGCGUGUAGGCGGCCAGGUAGGUCUGCUGUGAAAACUCGAGGCUCAACCUCGAGACGUCGGCGGAAACCAUCUGGCUAGAGUCCGGAAGAGGAGAGUGGAAUUCCUGGUGUAGCGGUGAAAUGACGCAGAUAUCAGGAAGAACACCCGUGGCGAAGCGGCUCUCUGGGACGGUACUGAGCUGAGACGCGAAAGCGUGGGGAGCGAACAGG